rnacentral:misc_RNA from 1 species
GACUUUCACAACGUGUUUCCAGUCGAACUCUACUCAUGUUUAGAAUGUAUGAUACCAGUCUGUCUACAAUUUCAUUGUACACGUUCUCCCAAACAAUAACUUGAUGUCACAAGACGUAAGAAAAAGUAUUUUGCAAGAUAUCGGAAAUACCUCUGUACCUGGAAACGAGUGGAUGUUCUUCGUAGCCUAACGAGUGGGAUUUCCAAUAUGCGCAGACAACAAUUUAAAUGAAUGCUCAGAUGUUGGAUGGCACUGGUCAGCUCUCGCUCUACUUACACUGGUACUGUUUCUAUGGUGACUCGUCCGAAAAAUAUGAACAAGGACUGCAAAUUCGAGAGGCCUCCCGGUCGAGAAGCAAACACGAAUCUUGAUUUGGACUUUGGUAACCUCAGUCUGAAUGACACGUGUGAAUCUGGGGUAGAGGUGGGGGUUAGCACAUGUGUCCGACCUGACAGUGUCACUACAAUCACCUGCCCCGGGUAUGUUUCUACAGACGAAGGAUAUGCAAGCAAGUCAAUAUCUUUCACAGACAGAAUGCCCGUUCAGGAGACCGACAACAACACACUUGUGACAUCCAUGAGAUCAGUUGAUAUCUUUCAGGUGUAUCAUCAAGAUAAAGAUGGCGACACGGAUCUUCAUACUGGAAUCAUUCAAGGACAUUCAUCUCUGGUGUUGUUAUUUAUAUCGGCGGCGCCCAACAGUGAGUGGUUGAACAUUACAAACAUGCUUCAACAGACGCCCCUUCACUUGGCUGUUAUUACUUGUCAGGUGAAUAUCGUCCGGCGACUAAUGACGGCCGGAGCAAGAGUUGAUGUUACCGAUAUCCAUGGCAACACACCACUUCACAUUGCAUGUCGCGAGGGCUACCAGGAGAUCGUGGAGUGUCUUCUUCGACCUGUGUAUUAUGAGGAGACACUUCUGAACCAGCAUGAAAUUCCGUACCAAAGGAUACCCCAGGACUUGGAGAAAAGGAACUUUGAUGGACAUACAUGUCUUCACCUGGCCGCCAUGUCGACACAUCUCAAAGUUCUUGAGCUUCUCCUGUCAAAGAAAGCUAACAUCAAUGUCCGUGACGCCACCAGCGGCAGGACAGUUCUCCAUUACGCUUCUGAAACGGGAAACAGAAUUCUUCUUCACUUCCUGUUGUCACAGCGUCAUCUUGACAUUUGUUGCCGAACAUACGGGGGUCAGACUCCUCUCCGUCUCGCAGCAGGGAGGGGUUAUGGGGAUGUCGUUUCCAUCCUCCUCGCCAACGGUGCAGACGUCACAGACAUAGACGGUUCCAAUCAGUCGGACGAUGAAAUGUUUGAUGAUUUUUGUAUUAAUGGACACAUAGUCGCUGUGUAACAACCGUGAAGACGGAAUGUACUGUCAGAUAGAUAUUGUGUAUAUCUACCUCAACUUACUGUGACUCAGACCAAGCUACACACUGUGGUUCUUUUGUUUUCUUGUUGGAAGCGAGAUGAUUCUCCCGUGCGCUUGCGUCCAUGGGUUAGUGUCCCGUUUAACAAUCCCGUUUCAACAAUCACGCAAACUAUAUAACUGGUCCAUUUAUAUCACGGAAUUCCUCGUCUCAGAAGGCAACGUGCAAGAACAACGUCUAAUGGUGGCUGAAUAUGAACACGAGAAGGAAAAUAUGUACAUUUUCCAAUGCAGGCGAAAACACUGAUAUUGAUGUUGAUGUUGACUACAAGUU